CCUACGGGUGGCUGCAGUGAGGAAUAUUGGGCAAUGGGCGAGAGCCUGAACCAGCAAAGUCGCGUGAGUGAAGACGGUCCUACGGAUUGUAAACCUCUUUUGUCAAGGAGCAAGGCGCGCCACGCGUGGUUCGGCGCGAGUACCUUAAGAACAAGCAUCGGCUAACUCCGUGCCAGCACCCGCGGUAAUGCGGGGGAUGCGCGCGUUAUUCGGAUUUGUUGGGUUUAGAGGGUGCGCAGGCGGAACGCCAAGUCAGCGGUAAAAUCGCGGGGCUCAACCUCGCUCCGCCGUGGAAACUGGCGUGCUGGAGUGGGCGAGAGGGAUGCGGAAUGCGUGGUGUAGCGGUGAAAUGCAUAGAUAUCACGAAGAACACCGAUUGCGAAGGCAGCAUACCGGAGCGCAACUGACGCUGAAGCACGAAAGCGUGGGUAUCGAACAGGAUUAGAUACCCUGGUAGUC
rnacentral:rRNA from 1 species